rnacentral:rRNA from 1 species
AUUGAACGCUGGCGGCAGGCCUAACACAUGCAAGUCGAGCGAGCGGCGGACGGGUGAGUAAAGUCUGGGAAACUGCCUGAGGGAGGGGGAUAAAAACAGGAAAAGGUAGCGAAAACAGCAUACCAUCAGAUGUGCACAGAUGGGAGUAGCUGGUAGGUGGGGUAACGGCUCACCUAGGCGACGAUCCCUAGCUGGUCUGAGAGGAUGACCAGCCCCACUGGAACUGAUACACGGUCCAGACUCCUACGGUAGUCAGCAGUGGGGCAUAUUGCACAAUGGGCGCAAGCCUGCUGCAGCCAUGCCGCGUGUGUGAAGAAGGCCUUCGGGUUGUAAAGCACUUUCAGCGGGGAGGCGUUACCCGCAGAAGAAGCACCGGCUAACUCCGUGCCAGCAGCCGCGGUAAUUC